UCUGCUGCUAUUCACUUAACACGUGACUGCCAACGUUGCCUUGAUCAGUUCGUUACUUUGUUAUUUUCCAUGUCUCACUCACAUCUGCUCUCCCUACUAUAACACAUACACUUACACGUGCUGAAUAAGAUAAACCUCCAUCUUGAUUUAACACAGAAGCAGCAAAGCAUCAGUUUAUACACCUGGCCGUAUAAACACCUACAUUCUUCUACGUUCUGAGUUCAGAUCCCAUCGAAGUUGACUUUGCCGUUUAUCCAGUAUCAUCUUAAAGUGUGAGCAUACUGGGUAGCCGCCUAAGGGCCUUAUGGGUCUAGGGUCUCGCACAUCUAAGGGCCCAAAUUCUGAUCUAUGUAUUCUGUAGCUUGCUGUCAAUCCUUUCUUCUAUAGGCACAAAGCCUGAAAUUUUUGUCAGGAAGGGGCUAGUUGAUUACAUCUAACCCAAGUGCACAACUGGUACUUAUUUCAUCAACUCUGAAAGAUGAAAGGUAAAGCUGACUUUGGCAGAAUUUGAAUUCAGAAUAUAAAGAUGGAUGAAAUGCUUAACAGCACUUUGUACGGCACAAGGCCCCGAAGUUUUUGGUGAAGGGGCCAGUCGAUUAGAUUGGCCCCAGUAUGCAACUGGUACUUAAUUUAUAUACCCCAAAAGGAUAAAAGGCAAAGUCAACCUCGGCAGAAUUUUAACUCAGAAUGUAAAGACAGAUAAAAUACGGCUAAGCAUUUUACCCAGCAUGCUAACAUUUCUGCCAGCUCGCCACCUUACACAUAUAUAUAUAUAUAUUACAUGCACACAGGCAUACAUAGGCAAACAUACAUACAAACGCACAAACACCUACACCCACAUACACAUGAAUGAAUGAGUGAAUGAAUGAAUGAAUAAAUAAAUGAACGAAUGAAUGAACAAACAUAUGAAUGGAAACUGUGCUGAAAUUUAACAACAACAACAAAGUACAUUGAAAGAGAAAAGUCUUUUGAUAGUAAAAAAAAAUUUGGGAGUGUUGGUCAGGUGGAGAGAAUGUAGCAUUGAAUACUUGCUUUAUUCAGAUGUUGCUCACCUUAUUCUAAUGAAGCAGUUAAAGUGAUGAAAUACAAUUUGCUUUAGUACUGGAAGACAAUUAUAAGUGAAUGGCAUGGCCUUUAUUUAAUGUAUCCGAUGUUCUUUUACUUGAUCAACAUAGGAUCAAUGAUGUAUCAGGCCUACGUUUAAUAGAAAUGUAGGUUUAACAGUGUAUUUACAGCAUUGUCAUUAUGCCUGUGAAUGUAAGUGUGUGUGUGUGUAGCUGCUGCUGCCAACGUGACUCAGCAACAAUAAGAAGGAAACAAAGCACCAGCACCAUGUAAUUUUUGUAAGAAAAACAUGUCAGCUACCAGAACAGGUAUCUUGAAAGAUUAAUCUAAUUUUAUUUAAUUCAGUUUAUUUUCCCUUUUACAGCAGCAUGACUAAAUCAUCUUUUUAAAGCAAUUGAAACUGGUAGCGUAUUUUAAUAAAAAUGUAAAUACUUUCUUACUUUUAUUCAUAAUAAAGUUGUCAAAGCAUU